UUGCACUCCCAUAUGUAUUUCCCUGCAUCCCACCAGGCAUCCCCUCUGUCUCCCCCCUGCAUCCCACUGGGCAUCAUUAUCCCCAUCAGUAUCCCCCUGAAUCCCUCCUGCAUCACCCCAGAUACCCCACUACAAAUCCCCUCAUCUCCUCUGCACCCCACUGUAGCAUGUCAUGUGCACCACCCAGCCAAGUCCUGUAACCCUGGACACCCCCCUGCAUUCCCAGACCCUACUUAGGGGAUAUCAGAAGCUCAUGACAUGUUAGCAAACAGGUUUGUUACGGGACAGGCAGCAGAAUCCCCUCUUCCCUGUAUCCAGCAUACAGCUGACCCACUGGGUCGUGGUGAACUUGACCUUGGUGUGCAAACCCGAUAAACGGACAGCAGGGCCACAGUGAACUUCAGUUGCUCACAAUGCAGCCAUGCCCAAACCAGCAGGGAUAUAUUCAGGGCACGAGCAAUGGCUGUCACCCAGAGGUCCCCCUGCAGCCACCCCCAUUGGCCUUCCCCAUUACCCUGUGAUGAUGAGUGGGGAAUGUGGGGUUGGGUUUCCCAUGGGAAGGCAUCAGAAACUCAGCACUGAGAUGAAUCCAAGAGGAACCCAUGGGGAGCCCAGAUUCUCCCAUAGGGUCUGACCUCUGUGAGGUAGCACAUCCCUUGGGAGCAGCAGAGGAGGCAAUGAGAAGUUGAGAAAUGGGGAUCUGGGGAGCACAGUGCUGGUGAUGGACCCCUCGAGGGGAAGUAAAAACAAUUGGUGUUGCCCAUGAAGGUGGCAUUGCUGAGAAACACCUUUCAGCUAAAAAUAUUUCAGAGCACAUUAACAGCUGCUCUGGUUAAGUAGGGAAGGAUAGUUUCCAUUAGCACGAGGAAGUGGGAAAUCCACUGCUCGUCUCCCACCUGUUUUACGCACUUUGCAGAGGAGAGGUGGGAACGGGGCACAAAGCCACCCCAAAGCUGCAGCGAUGGGGCUGCUCACAAGUUGGGUGCCCACUGUGCAUCACAAUGGUUCCAAAACCUGGCGUGCUGCUCCUGCCCAUCUUCUUUCCAAACCUGAAAAAAACAAAAAAAGAAGCACAUCAGAUAAUGGGGGAAAAGCCUUUGGAGCACUGUGAACAUCAGUCGGAGGGGAGGAAGGCAGCGUUCCACUCUCAGUGCCAGCAGGGAGGUGCCGGCUGCUGGCUGACCCCGCAGUGCCGUGAAGCAGACUUUGUCCCCACCGCGGUGCAGCAGGGCACAGCCUGGCUCGGCGCUCACUCUUUUUUCCUGGGCUGAUUUCAAAACCAGAGAGCUGCAGCGCGAUCCAGCCAGGCGCGGAGAUUACAGCAGGAAUCAGAUGGAAAAUCCGUGGAUGGCUGCAGCCCUGCAUCCUGCAUGGUUCCAGUUUCCAUUGCUGUGAGGGCGCCCAUGGACACCGCCAUGCUCCUGGGCUGGGCUACACCCAGGUGUUCUGCUUUCAUCCCAAAAAUGCUGCAUGGCAAUGAGCUGUCUGAGCUCAGUAGUCAAAAAUGAAGAUCCGCAGCACCAAGGCCAAUGGAUCGUUUUUUCACUUUGGGAAAAUCCCGAGUGGAUUUCCAGGGAUCUGUGCUUGAUGGAGACAUGCAGCACCUGCUGGUUGGAGCCUGGAUGAGAAAUGAGGAAGAAUCAGAGGAAAAAGGCUCUGGGAA
ensembl:lncRNA